rnacentral:tRNA from 1 species
UAGCUCAGUGGGUGGAGAACAGGCCUGCUGUGCCUGAGGCUCUGGUUCAAAUCCAGA